GGAGAAGUACUCAAGUGGCUGAAGAGGCUCCCCUGCUAAGGGAGUAGACCUUUUACGGGGUGCGAGGGUUCAAAUCCCUCCUUCUCCG
rnacentral:tRNA from 1 species